rnacentral:rRNA from 1 species
GACGAACGCUGGCGGCGUGCUUAACACAUGCAAGUCGAACGGUGACGAGGAGCUUGCUCCUCCGAUCAGUGCGAACGGGUGAGUAACACGUGAGUAACCUGCCCGGACUCUGGGAUAACAGUUGGAAACAGCUGCUAAUACCGGAUACGAGACGGAGAGGCAUCUCUACCGUCUGGAAAGUUCUUCGGGUCCGGGAUGGACUCGCGGCCUAAUCAGCUAGUUGGUGAGGUAACGGCUCACCAAGGCGACGACGGUAGCCGGCCGUGAGAGGCGACCGGCCACACUGGGACUGAGACACGGCCCAGACUCCUACGGAGGCAGCAGUGGGGAAUAAUUGCACAAUGGGCGAAAGCCUGAUGCAGCGA